CCUGGCGGCGUGCCUUAUGCAUGCAANUCGGACGGGGUGCCUUCGGGCACUCAGUGGCGAACGGGUGAGUAACACGUAAGUAACCUGUCCCUAAGUAGGGGAUAACUCUGAGAAAUCGGAGCUAAUACCUUAUGUGGUGAUGGCGGUAAGGCGUCAUCACUAAAGCCUUCGGGCGCUUGGGGAGGGGCUUGCGUCCUAUCAGGUAGUUGGUGGGGUAACGGCCCACCAAGCUGAUGACGGGUAGCUGGUCUGAGAGGAUGGUCAGCCACACUGGGACUGAGACACGGCCCAGACUCCUACGGGAGGCAGCAGCAAGGAAUAUUGUGCAAUGGGCGAAAGCCUGACACAGCGACGCCGCGUGGGGGAAGAAGGCCUUCGGGUUGUAAACCCCUUUUCUCAGGGAAGAAUAAUGACGGUACCUGAGGAAUAAGUCUCGGCUAACUACGUGCCAGCAGCCGCGGUAAUACGUAGGAGGCGAGCGUUAUCCGGAUUUACUGGGCGUAAAGCGGGCGUAGGCGGCCUUUCAAGUCGGAUGUGAAAUCUCCCGGCUUAACUGGGAGGGGUCAUUCGAAACUGUUGGGCUAGAGGACAGCAGAGGGAAGUGGAAUUCCCGGUGUAGU
rnacentral:rRNA from 1 species